GAAAUGAAGAACUACCCGGAAAACAUAGCAUACAUAGGAUAUAUAUUCUCAUGACGUGAAUCUUUUUGUUUGAGUUUACUUUCAUUUUUCUCUCUAUUCGCGUUUUAUGAGAAC
rnacentral:ribozyme from 14 species